rfam:Mesocricetus auratus contig099358, whole genome shotgun sequence.
CAGUGAGCUCUACCACCCCGAGUAAGGGGCCACGGCAGCAUCAGGAGGUCUCCCUUUUGGGAGACAAGACAACCCUGUUUAAUAUUUAAACAGCAGUGUUCCCA